rnacentral:rRNA from 1 species
GACGAACGCUGGCGGCGUGCUUAACACAUGCAAGUCGAACGGAAAGGCCCCUUUGGGGGUCCUCGAGUGGCGAACGGGGGAGUAACACGGGAGUAACCUGCCCUUGACUUCGGGAUAACUUCAGGAAACUGGGGCUAAUACCGGAUAGGAAUCCUUGCUGCAUGGUGGGGGUUGGAAAGCUUCGGCGGGUUUGGAUGGACUCGCGGCUUAUCAGCUUGUUGGUGGGGUAGUGGCUUACCAAGGCUUUGACGGGUAGCCGGCCUGAGAGGGCGACCGGCCACAUUGGGACUGAGAUACGGCCCAGACUCCUACGGGAGGCAGCAGUGGGGAAUAUUGCACAAUGGGCGGAAGCCUGAUGCAGCAACGCCGCGUGCGGGAUGACGGCCUUCGGGUUGUAAACCGCUUUCAGCAGGGGCGAAGCUUGUGGUGACGGUACCUGCAGAAGAAGCACCGGCUAACUACGUG